UUUGAUUGCAGCAAGUAUGAGGCUCCCCAAAGAGUGGUUUUGGGCAAUGUCACUGCUACAUACUGCUUGCACAGUGGCGCACAUUAUCAUAAAGUAGACACAACACACAUUUUGGAUGUGGCAGGCCAUCAAAGAGGGAUGCAGGUGUAGGAGUCAACACUGCUGCGCUUGUCAAGGUAUGAGAUAACAUUUGCAGUGGCAAAACAGACAUGAUAAUGUCAUUCUUGGGAUCACAAACAAUUUGGAAAUAAUCCAUGAAACUUUCCACAAUUU